AACGACCGGUCGGACACGCACGCCCCCACGGCAGCGGGCCCGGCCCACAAGUGGAGGCUCCGAACUCCCACCUGGCCAUCCUCAGGAUGGCGGGUCACCGGUCAGGCGGUCCCGCCCCGGCGGCGGCGACCAGCCCGAAAUCGCGCCCCGCGAUCACACCGCGGCGGUGCUCCGGUAGUAAUGAGGAGCCCCGCCUGUGAUCGUCCGGGGCAUUUUUG
rnacentral:ncRNA from 1 species